rnacentral:rRNA from 1 species
AGAAUCAACGCUGGCGGCGUGCCUAACGACGAUGCAAGUCGAACGAGAAAGUGGGAGCAAUCCCAUGAGUAAAGUGGCGCACGGGUGAGUAACACGUGACUAACCUACCCUUGAGUGGGGGAUAACCUAGGGAAACCUGGGCUAAUACCGCAUAAUACCUACGGGUCAAAGGAGCAAUUCGCUUUAGGAGGGGGUCGCGGCAGAUUAGUUAGUUGGCGGGGUAAUGGCCCACCAAGACAGUGAUCUGUAUCCGGCCUGAGAGGGCGCACGGACACACUGGAACUGAAACACGGUCCAGACUCCUACGGGAGGCAGCAGUGGGAAUUUGCGCAAUGGGGGAAACCCUGACGCAGCAACGCCGCGUGGAGGAUGAAGCCCCUUGGGGCCGUAAACUCCUUUUCUCAGAGAAGAAGCAAUGACGGUAUCUGAGGAAUAAGCAUCGGCUAACUCUGCCGCCAGCAGGCCGUC